rnacentral:snoRNA from 1 species
GUGCAUCUAUGACAAACCUGGAGCAGUUAAAUGUCUGCUUGUAGGUUUCCACUAUAGAUGGAAGAAAAAGAAGGUCCUCGUGCUUUCUGUCCGGUUGUGGCAGCCAAGAUUGAAUGGGGAAAUACAGGG